rnacentral:sRNA from 1 species
GGUUUCCCCACACGCAGUUCCUUCCACAGUGUAACCUGCUGAAGCUUUGCCGCAGCGACUCGAAACAAUUGCACCAGUCCGCUUUGCGGGCAACACCAUGAUAUCUCACUGGGACUUCCAUCCUGCCUGUCAGGUGUGGACACCAGUGGCCUGUGCAGCACAGGUUCACAGAUCAAACAAUGGUGGCCAACAGCUCUGCUUGCCUGAACUGGUUGGUUAAGAUAUGACCGGUCUUCACUGUAACCAGCUGGAGAGCACAUGUUCCGUAGGUGAACCUGCGGAAGGAUCAUUACAGAGUUAGGGUCUUUUCGGCCCAACCUCCAACCCUAUGUGUACCUACCUUUGUUGCUUUGGCGGGCCUGUUGAGGCAACUCACCGAUGGCCACAGGCUCUUGAGCGCCCGUCAAAGACCCAUCAAACUCCGUUAAUUGUGCUGUCUGAGUACCAAUACAAUAGUUAAAACUUUCAACAACGGAUCUCUUGGUUCUGGCAUCGAUGAAGAACGCAGCGAAAUGCGAUAAGUAAUGUGAAUUGCAGAAUUCAGUGAAUCAUCGAAUCUUUGAACGCACAUUGCGCCCCUCGGUAUUCCGAGGGGCAUGCCUGUUCGAGCGUCAUUACACCACUCAAGCUCGGCUUGGUAUUGGGCCUUCGUCCUCUGUGGACGUGCCUGAAAAUUAGCGGCGGCACGGCCCCGGCUUCAAGCAGCAUUAGUUUUAUCCUUUGCUUUGAAAGCCCGGGUCCGAGUCAGCCGGACAACCCUCAAUGUUUUCUCAAAGGUUGACCUCGGAUCAGGUAGGGAUACCCGCUGAACUUAAGCAUAUCAAUAAGCGGAGGAAAAGAAACCAACAGGGAUUGCCUCAGUAACGGCGAGUGAAGCGGCAACAGCUCAAAUUUGAAAUCUGGCUCUUUCAGGGUCCGAGUUGUAAUUUGUAGAGGAUGCUUCGGGUACGGCUCCGGUCUAAGUUCCUUGGAACAGGACGUCACAGAGGGUGAGAAUCCCGUACGUGACCGGCCUCCACGCCCGUGUGAAGCUCCUUCGACGAGUCGAGUUGUUUGGGAAUGCAGCUCAAAAUGGGUGGUAAAUUUCAUCUAAAGCUAAAUAUUGGCCAGAGACCGAUAGCGCACAAGUAGAGUGAUCGAAAGAUGAAAAGCACUUUGGAAAGAGAGUCAAACAGUACGUGAAAUUGUUGAAAGGGAAGCGCUUGCAACCAGACUUGCCUGCGGGUGAUCAGCUGGUAUUUUUACCGGUGCACUCGCCCGUGGUCAGGCCAGCAUCGGUUUGGGCGGCUGGAUAAAGUCCCCCGGAAUGUAGCUCCUUUCGGGGAGUGUUAUAGCCGGGGGUGCAAUGCUGCCCGCCUGGAUCGAGGACCGCGCUUCGGCU